UACGAAGGGGGCUAGCGUUGCUCGGAAUCACUGGGCGUAAAGCGCACGUAGGCGGCUUCUUAAGUCAGGGGUGAAAUCCUGGAGGCUCAACUCCAGAACUGCCUUUGAUACUGAGGAGCUUGAGUCCGGGAGAGGUGAGUGGAACUGCGAGUGUAGAGGUGAAAUUCGUAGAUAUUCGCAAGAACACCAGUGGCGAAGGCGGCUCACUGGCCCGGUACCGACGCUGAGGUGCGAAAGCGUGGGGAGCAAACAGG
rnacentral:rRNA from 1 species